rnacentral:ncRNA from 22 species
UAGAAUAAAAAUAACUUAAAGUUUAUAUACUUAUUAAAUGAAAGGGAAGCAGGUUAGAUUCCUGCACAGUCUGUGCUACUGUAUUAGAAGAGUAAAUAUCAAAAUGUCACUGUUGUGUAAGCGGGAAGACGAUAUUUAUGAUGAAGCUUAAGUCAGGAGACCUAUUUAAUAAGACCUAUAAACU